rnacentral:lncRNA from 1 species
GAUUUUAAAAUGCGAUAUCCCAGGACUACAUAUCGCCGACCCUUUCCUUUUUAAUAGCAUAUGCAGAAGCAGUUAUAAAAACCCCCACACAAUAAAGCAAUGGGAUAUAUAAGUAGGACUAGAAAAUUGAACAUGAAAACCAACACCCUUAUGUACAUCUAUAAUGACUCAGUCAUACAUGUACAUAUACAAACCAUGCUAAAAAGGUUGGUUUCUACUCAAUUAGAUUCUACAGCAACAGUCAUCAGGAUCCUCCUCUGGAUCAUCCUCGGGGUUCUCC